rnacentral:misc_RNA from 1 species
UACAAGUAGUGUCGUGAGAUCGCGAUGUCGUUAGUUUAGAAACAGAAUGCGAUAAUGCAUGAUCUUUACAAUACAAGUCUCGCGCGCGAGACCUCGUGAGAACCGUCAAGUAGAGAAUGGUAAUGAGAACGAAUAAAAAAUGUGUUUAUUUAAGUGCAGCGGUGUUACAUAGUAAAAAAGUGAGAAGGUGUAAUAAGUGAAAGUGUGAGUGCAACUGAGAGAGCAAGUAUCGCGUUGAUUACGAUACACAAAUCUCGAGUGAGAUAUUGUGUGAAGUAUUACCGGAGUAUCAUACAUUACAGUGAAGAACUGUGUGUACUUCAAGAUGUCGUCGGGUCAUAGUAGCAGAAGUAGUCGUACUGCACAAAUCAGUUCGAUCCUCCAAAAGCUCCAGGGUCGAUUUAGUGACGCAAUGACACCACCAAAAUUAUCGACAGAUAAACGAAUGCUCGACAAAACAUGGAAGCUUAUGGAUAAAGUUGUUAAACUUUGUCAACAUCAACGAAUGAACCUUAAAAACUCUCCUCCGUUUAUCCUUGAUAUCCUACCGGAUACAUACCAACGAUUGCGAUUAAUAUAUUCUAAGUAUGAAGAUCGUAUGCACGUUCUUCAUAGCAACGAGCAUUUUUGUGUAUUCAUUAAUAACCUCAUGCGAAAAUGCAAGCAAGCCAUUAAAUUAUUUAAAGAAGGCAAGGAAAAAAUGUUCGAUGAGACUUCACAUUAUCGCAGAAACUUGACGAAACUUAGUCUCGUUUUCAGCCACAUGCUCUCUGAGUUGAAGGCCAUCUUCCCAAACGGCGUCUUCGCGGGCGAUCAGUUUCGUAUCACCAAGUCGGACGCUGCAGAAUUCUGGAGAGAGCGCUUCGGUAACAGUACUUUGGUUCCAUGGAAAGUUUUCAGACAUGAAUUGAAUCAAGUUCAUCAAAUAAGUUCUGGACUUCAAGCUAUGGCAUUAAAAUCAACGAUAGACCUCACUUGCAAUGAUUACAUUUCAAACUUCGAAUUCGAUGUAUUUACAAGACUGUUUCAACCAUGGUCAACAUUACUACAAAAUUGGAAAAUUUUGGCUGUUACACAUCCUGGUUAUGUUGCUUUUUUGACAUAUGAUGAAGUUAAAGCUCGUCUACAAAAAAAUUGUAUUACAAAACCUGGAAGCUAUGUCUUUCGAUUGAGUUGUACGAGAUUAGGACAAUGGGCUAUUGGUUAUGUAACUUCAGAUGGUGAUAUUCUUCAAACUAUACCCCACAAUAAAAGCUUAUGCCAAGCAUUAUUAGAUGGUUAUCGAGAAGGCUUCUAUUUAUAUCCAGACGGGCGCAAUAUAAAUCCAGAUUUAACGUGGGCUGUUCAACCAACUCCAGAAGAGCACAUAAAGGUGACAGCUGAGCAGUAUGAAUUAUAUUGCGAAAUGGGUAGUACAUUCCAAUUGUGUAAAAUAUGUGCUGAACAUGACAAAGAUGUGAGAAUAGAGCCUUGUGGACAUCUUCUCUGUACGCCUUGUCUAACAGCUUGGCAGGUAGAUUCUGAAGGUCAAGGAUGUCCUUUUUGUCGUGCAGAGAUAAAAGGAACUGAACAGAUAGUUGUAGAUCCCUUUGAUCCACGACGAACACACAGACCUGGAGCUCAAUCAGCGUCAGCCAGUAAUGCAUCUACUCCUACGCGGGAUCUUGAUCCUGACACCGAGGAUAUUAUGGAAUUAUCCAAUGGUAACUGUGGAUUAAUUUGUGAUGACUCUGAUGAAGAAGAAGAUUCGAGUCCCAUGAAUUCACCAGUUCCAUCGCGACGAAUUGUUCCAAGUCCUCCUUUACCUCCAAGACGACCAUCACCAUCGCCAACUCCAAAUAAUAUUUCUCGAAAUAAUCGUCAUUUAGCUGUACCUAAAGAAAAUGCUCCUCCUCCGCCGCCUGUCACAGUUAUAUUAUCUUCCAAUGAAAAUCAACAAAAUAACAAAGCUGCAACGGAAGCAAGAUAUGAUAUGCUUCACAGAGCAUCAUCUCCUUCACCAGUUCCUCCAGCAGUAAUACGACCACAUGUUCGAUCACACACAAAACCACCAGCAUUACCUGAAAAAGCUAAUCGUCAUUUGCCUUCACAGCCAACCAAUGUGCCUCCAGUACUACCACCGUUAUCCGCACCACGACCUCCAAAAACAACUAAAGAUCUAUCGAAACAGGAUCAUCAUUAUGAAAAUACCAUUUUAAUACAUGGAUCUAAAGAGCAUGUAGUAAAAAAUAUUAAUUUAGAAAUGAAUAGAGCAAAAUUUACGGCGCUAAUGAAAAAUAAAGAUGAACCUGGUGGUUCAGCAACUAAAUCAGAAGCGGCUGCUUACGAAAAUGUUAAUGUUGAACAUAUCUCGAGACUUACUGCUUUAGGCUUUGCUCAAGAUGCUGUUAUUAGAGCUCUGGGAAUUACAAGAAAUGAUUUAGAAAUGGCCUGCGAUAUUCUCAACGAAUUUGCCACUAAAUCUUUUUGACCAGAUACAAACUCUGAUGAUUUAUGACCACCAGUUCCACCUCGGCGGUGUUCAUAGUUAAGAAUUAUCAUUUGGAAAAAUGAAGAACAACUAUGAAUGAAUCAAUUUAUUUGUGCAAUAACUCAAUCAAAAGUAUCAGAAUCAGUGAGAUGAAAAUAAUUUUAAAGUAAUCGAAUUUUAAAAUAAUAAUUAGAGAUCGUUAAAUUCUAGAUGAUAACUUACAAUAAUGAUGCAGCCAUUCGAACAAAAUAAAUCCAACAUGUGUAUAAUAUUAGUUUUAGAUAAUGCAUUGAAAGUUUAACGUUGAAAAAAGCAACGUAGUAUAUCAGCUUUAUUUAAAGAUACCUCUUAAUUGUUUUGUAUAGCAACAAUGAUAUUGUCAGCAAGUAAUAUUAAUUUUAAUGAUGGAAGACAUUGCAUGAUGUUUGUUUAUUUAUUUAUUAUUAGGGUAUGUGUCAAAUGUGAUAUUUAUAUUUAAAAAAAGGAUGAACGAUUUUAAGUAGUUUAUCAGUAAUUUUAUCAUGCGCCAUAUAUAUAAUUUUUCAGAAAUUAAACAAAGAUCGAUUAACGAUAAUAAACGUUUACUUAUAUUAACAAUUCAUAUAAACAGAAUAACAUAUUUAAAAAAUUUCAUUGGAAUGACAAUAGCGGUAUUAUUCAUGAAUGGUAUUUAAAUGUACAAGAUAAUAUUAAUUUAAAAUAAAAUUUAUUAUAGGACUGAUGGAAGUUAAGUGAAUACAAUCUAUU